UGGGGAAUAUUGGACAAUGGGCGCAAGCCUGAUCCAGCCAUGCCGCGUGAGUGAUGAAGGCCCUAGGGUUGUAAAGCUCUUUCACCGGUGAAGAUAAUGACGGUAACCGGAGAAGAAGCCCCGGCUAACUUCGUGCCAGCAGCCGCGGUAAUACGAAGGGGGCUAGCGUUGUUCGGAUUUACUGGGCGUAAAGCGCACGUAGGCGGACUAUUAAGUCAGGGGUGAAAUCCCGAGGCUCAACCCCGGAACUGCCUUUGAUACUGGUAGUCUUGAGUUCGAGAGAGGGGAGUGGAAUUCCGAGUGUAGAGGUGAAAUUCGUAGAUAUUCGGGGGAACACCAGUGGCGAAGGCGGCUCACUGGCUCGAUACUGACGCUGAGGUGCGAAAGCGUGGGGAGCAAACAGG
rnacentral:rRNA from 1 species